AAGUAAUUCGAUUAAUGGUAAAUCAAGGAUUUUACACAUCUUAGCUAAUGGUUCAAUUCCAUUAUUACUUA